rnacentral:pre_miRNA from 1 species
CCGAGAAUCGCAUGCCGGCUCUGCUCAGCGCCUCUGCCCCUCAGCCUUCCCGGGGAGGGGAGGGGAGGGGGAGCCCGGGCUUGUCUCUGCUGGGGUCUCUCCU